rnacentral:rRNA from 1 species
UGAGGAAUAUUGGUCAAUGGGCGAGAGCCUGAACCAGCCAAGUAGCGUGCAGGAUGACGGCCCUAUGGGUUGUAAACUGCUUUUAUAUGGGAAUAAAGUGAGGGACGUGUCCCUUAUUGCAUGUACCAUACGAAUAAGGACCGGCUAAUUCCGUGCCAGCAGCCGCGGUAAUACGGAAGGUCCAGGCGUUAUCCGGAUUUAUUGGGUUUAAAGGGAGCGUAGGCCGUUUGUUAAGCGUGUUGUGAAAUGUAAGAGCUCAACUUUUAGAUUGCAGCGCGAACUGGCAGACUUGAGUGCGCACAACGUAGGCGGAAUUCAUGGUGUAGCGGUGAAAUGCUUAGAUAUCAUGACGAACUCCGAUUGCGAAGGCAGCUUACGGGAGCGCAACUGACGCUAAAGCUCGAAGGUGCGGGUAUCGAACAGG